rnacentral:rRNA from 1 species
AAGCUCGUAGUUGAAUUUCGGGGGUUAGUAGGUUGGUCAUGCCUCUGGUAUGUACUGGUCUCACUGAUUCCUCCUUCCUUAUGAACCGUAAUGCCAUUAAUUUGGUGUUGCGGGGAAUUUGGACUGUUACUUUGAAAAAAUUAGAGUGUUUAAAGCAAGCUAACGCUUGAAUACAUUAGCAUGGAAUAAUGAAAUAGGACGUUCGAUCUUAUUUUGUUGGUUUCUAGGAUUGACGUAAUGAUUAAUAGGAUAGUUGGG